UAUGGCUAUAGAUUGUCUUCUUUGGUUGCUUCAAGAUCCGAAUACAUGCCAUAAGGUGAUCGAUAAGGCAGUACCUGCACUCAUAGACCUUGCUGAGAUCACAGCACUGGGUGAUCACAAAAAGCUUGGUGAUUCUAUUGUUAAUGUUCUUCUGGAUUGUAUUCAAUCACAAGGGACAGGGCGUAACUCUGUCAGUAACCACACAAAAGAACUGAUUGGGGAAUUGUUAAACUCAAAACAAAAAUUCAAAACAAAGGUUGAAAUGGGAAAAAAGCAUGCCAAAAGAAGAUCUACAUAUUAAGCAGGCUNCAGCAUUAGUGGUCAAGCUUGAAGGAAAUUCCUUGUUCUCAUCAGGAAAUAUAUCUGGAGCUGCAUCAAAGUACUCUGAUCAUUGUGUCCAAUGAGAUCCAAAAAAGAGAGAGUUGUUCUAUACAGUAAUCGAGCUCAGUGUCAUCUUCUGUUACAACAACCCUCGGCUGCUAUAAGUGAUGCUACACACGC
rnacentral:misc_RNA from 1 species